rnacentral:rRNA from 1 species
UGAGGAAUAUUGGUCAAUGGGCGAGAGCCUGAACCAGCCAAGUAGCGUGCAGGAUGACGGCCCUAUGGGUUGUAAACUGCUUUUAUGUGGGGAUAAAGUGCGUGACGUGUCAUGCAUUGCAGGUACCACAUGAAUAAGGACCGGCUAAUUCCGUGCCAGCAGCCGCGGUAAUACGGAAGGUCCGGGCGUAUCCGGAUUUAUUGGGUUUAAAGGGAGCGUAGGCUGUCUAUUAAGCGUGUUGUGAAAUUUACCGGCUCAACCGGUGGCUUGCAGCGCGAACUGGUCGACUUGAGUAUGCAGGAAGUAGGCGGAAUUCAUGGUGUAGCGGUGAAAUGCUUAGAUAUCAUGACGAACUCCGAUUGCGCAGGCAGCUUACUGUAGCAUAACUGACGCUGAUGCUCGAAAGUGCGGGUAUCAAACAGG